rnacentral:lncRNA from 1 species
AGUUUGAGUUGUAAAGAGAGGAGAGAAAACUUCUGUAAGGGUUGUCUCCUAAGCCCGUCAAAAGGAGUGAAUAUGUAAGAGGGUGGUUGGCCUUCGCCUAUUGAAGGAAGGCCUCUAGUUGACGUCGGUGACCUCGUCGGUGGAGGAAGCCAAAAGUGGAGUAGGUCAAGAUUGACCGAACCACUCUAAAUCUCGGUUUGCAUUUCCUUUGAGCAUUUUACCUUCACUGCAAACUUCUCAAUAGCUUACU